UCCGUAGGCGGUUUAAUAAGUCAGUGGUGAAAGCCCAUCGCUCAACGAUGGAACGGCCAUUGAUACUGUUAGACUUGAAUUACAAGGAAGUAACUAGAAUAUGUAGUGUAGCGGUGAAAUGCUUAGAUAUUACAUGGAAUACCAAUUGCGAAGGCAGGUUACUACUUGUGGAUUGACGCUGAUGGACGAAAGCGUGGGGAGCGAACAGGAUUAGAUACCCCUGUA
rnacentral:rRNA from 1 species